rnacentral:rRNA from 1 species
AAACAUCGCCUCCUGCAACUGCAUUGAGUAUAGGAGGUCCAGCCUGCCCAGUGACUACGGGUUCAACGGCCGCGGUAUUUUGACCGUGCAAAGGUAGCGCAAUCACUUGUCUCUUAAAUAGAGACCUGUAUGAAUGGCUAGACGAGGGCUUAACUGUCUCCCCCUUCCGGUCAGUGAAAUUGAUCUAUCCGUGCAGAAGCGGGUAUAACUAUACAAGACGAGAAGACCCUUUGGAGCUUAAGGUACAAGAUUUAACCACGUUAAACGACUCUACAUAAAGCACAAACUUAGUGGUGUAUGAAACUUUACCUUCGGUUGGGGCGACCACGGAGGAAAAAGAAGCCUCCGAGUGGACUGGGCCAAACCCCUAAAGUCAAUAGAUACAUCUAUAAGCCGCAGAAUAUCUGACCAAAAAUGAUCCGACUGAAAAGUCGAUCAACGAACCAAGUUACCCUAGGGAUAACAGCGCAAUCCUCUCCCAGAGUCCAUAUCGACGAGGGGGUUUACGACCUCGAUGUUGGAUCAGGACAUCCUAAUGGUGCAGCCGCUAUUAAGGGUUCGUUUGUUCAACGAUUAAAGU